rnacentral:misc_RNA from 1 species
CUUGUCCCCAUCCAGUAUAAUUCCUUCUGCGUUGCUGUAGAUUCUCUGCAGUGCUGUGUUCUCCAACUAUUCACAAUCAGGCCUCGAUUUUCUGCUUUUUUCCCCUUAAAUCUAAAACCUAAAUUUCAACAUAUCUUUAAAGCAUCUCCCCAAAACACAAAAGCCUAAGUGACCACUGACUGCAUCCUAACCUAACUCACACACUAAAAAUACAUUCUGAAUGGAAAAAUAUAUUAUGCUGACUGACAACCAAAAAAAUUAAUAACAUGCUUUAUCAUAAAAUAAUUGAUACAAGGAAUUCAUUGAACCAAGCCUUUUUAUGGAUGUUGCCCUGGACCAAAAAGAAUUAAGAUGGCUGGCGCCAAUUGGAUUAGAAUUAAAGCUUCAUCGAAUUCAGUUGUGUUUAAACAUCUACAGUAUACAGAAUGUGGCCACAUGUUUUAACAUCUAGAAAAGAAACAAAUCUCAGGAAUGGAAACCAGAAGAAACCAAUUUCUAUGAGAUCAACUAGCUAAUGGCUUGUGG